rnacentral:lncRNA from 1 species
GUCGUAACCUUGCACAAAGAGGAAAAGGAAGAAUUUGGGCAUGUAGGCGGGGCAAGGGGUGGUUUUUCCAUCCAACUUCUACCCUAUAAAGUUAACUAGAGGAUUCCUUGCUGCCUUCCUUCCUGUGUUCCUCCUCUUCGGAUUUUUUGUUUCCUUCUGUUGACUACCACACCCUGUCCUUGUUUAUCACUCUGCCCCCUCUCUCUUUCCCGCCGUUCUUCCAUUCCCACUUCUUCCUGUGCCCCUCAGCCCACGGCACCACCAUGCCUGCUAGAGGAUCAGUUAAAUAGCACCCCUCCCUGGACAGCCAGGUUAAUUGAUGCAGUCCCCUUUGGGCCACAACCAUUGGGAGGAGCAGGACUGUUGGUAGAGACUUGGGAAAGGAAAUCCCCUUCCAGUUUGGUUCCAAACAAAGAAAGUUGGUCCUCCCAGGACCUUCAGUCAACCUGCCCAAGCCAGAGUGGAGAUGAGAGGUGGGGAGAGGUGUGGAAGAGGGGAGAGAACAGAAUAAGAAAGAGCCGUGAAAGGGGUGCUGAGGGACCUGUGAAAGCAUCUAUCUCUGGAAGGCCUGAAGAGGCUGCUUUGGGCAAAGUCGAGGUCUCCACCUGGCCAACUGCCUCUUCCCUUCGUCCCCAAAGGUGAGAGGAUCCCAAUGAGGCUGAGGGUCCGUAGGGAGUAAGGAUUAACCCUUUUCUCAGCCAGGUCUUGGCUGAUGGAGGGAGAGGUGCCGGCGGGCUUCGGACGUCCCCAGCGCUACCCUCCACCGCCACCCUCCACCGCCACUGCGAGGAAGGGGGGUGCGGAGGAAGGAGGCAGGCGGUGGCCAGGGGCAGCCGAAAGGGGACGGAAUACAGGGCGGGCGGAGUUCAACUUCAGAUGCUGGGCAGACCAGGGGACGCGAAAUAACCACCGUCAAUGCACGAGGAAAGGAAGGGGCCAGCGCGGGCGCGGGCGCGCGGCUCCUUGGCGCUGCGGAGUAGUUGGAGAGGGGCGGGAGAGCCCCGGCGGGCUGAGUUUUCCUGGAGUUGCGAGCAAGCACCAAAUCUCUCUCGGAUCGGUCCGCGGCGCGACCGCCCUCUCUGCCUCCUCUCUCAGCAGCUGUGCGGAUGUGAGGAGCAGGCGGAGAACGCGCCAGAGCCGGGAGCGGAAGCGAGCAUGGUCCCACACGUGAGAACAGAGAUGCCCAACAGCUGGAAAUCGCAGCCCCAGCCGCAGCCGAACAUCUGGAGCGCUAAUCGCAGGAGCCGCGGGCGGCCCUGGAGGUGGGGUCGUGAAAUGGGACGGGAAGGGGUUAAUGAUGGAACAGCUCAGCUAGCGGGGCACUCGAUGGCCCAUUCUUCGCGCCCCCAAAUUUGGACCUGGCCGGGAAUUCGCCUCAGCGCAAUAGCGAGGGCCGUCCCCUCCCCGCCAGUGCCCCCGCGCGUACCCCCACCAGCGGAGCCCCAGGUCUGCUAAGAAGGGUUAAUGGCCCUGCGCCCCAUUCCCAGCUCCAUUGCGGACCAGGAGCGUGCAGGUGAGGGAAUAUUGUUAAAAGACGACCUGGGGGCGAAGGCGAUAGAAAGAGGGACCGGAGGGGGGCGGGCGGGGCGGAGCGGGGCGGGGGCGCCGG